GUCGUUCUCUUUCUCUUUCCAGGUUUGUUGAGGUUCAUCAUCGUGUCUGUGGGUUUAGCAGCUCUCAUAAUAAUCGUGGUGGCAGUCAGCAUGUGGACAAGAACUAAAGGGAGAAAAACACAGAUGGAUGAAAACAUGGCGGCUGAUGAUGAAGAUGAUGGUGCAGUGAACUACGAGAACGUCACAUCUUCUGUUUGAGUUUGAGCAACACCUCUGCCUCCAUCAGACUCCACCCAUCAACAACUGGUACACCAGCUCAGCUGGAGAGUUUGAGAGCAUGCAUAGUUUUUGUCUUUUGUUCAGAACACAGCAGCUGGAUUUGAACUGUCUGAACUGGAAACAGCUUUUAACUCGUUUAACUUCCUUAAAUUUGCUUCUGACCAAAUCAUUUAGUCCUGACUUUAAGAUGAGCUGAGCAGCUUUGAAGCUACAGCUGAGCGCACGUCUUCAUUCAAGAUGAACUCAUCUGAACUUCGCGAACUGCGUGAGAGCUUAGCUCCUGACCAAACUGCUGUAAAUAUAUAAUACAGGAGGUUCAUUUACAUGAGAUGAACUCAUCAGCUUUUAGCUUUGUUGCUGUUGUUAACAUGUUUCAGAGUCCAGUGUGUGUCUGGCUUGAAUGAGCUUUGAGUCUUAAUGGAUUCACUCAGUUAGUUUUGUCUUUAUUUGACAUGAUAAUUAUAUAAUCUGCAAAUAAAGAAGUGUUUAACAGUCA